GAUGUCAUGAGAACUCACUAUCAUUAGAGCAGGAUGGAGAAACUGCCCCUGUGAUUUAAUUAUCUCUACCUGGUUCCUCCCAUGACAUGUGGGGAUGCUGGGAUUACAG